rnacentral:lncRNA from 1 species
UGAUCGUUCGAUGGAAUUAGGUUAAGUUAUUGGUUUUGUUUCGAACGGUUUGAAGUUUCGAGCGGUGUAGGUGUGUUCUAGUAUUUUCUCGUAGCACGUUUUUGAAAAUAGACUUCGACGACUAAUCGCGUGACGAGGAUGGAGUCAAACGAGAUUGAGGUCUUCAAAUCGGGACCGAGUAUGCGAAGUGACAAGAAUGCUGUCAUCGAUUACGACGAAGAUAGAAUUAUACUGCCAGACUUUCUGGAGUUAAAAUGAUGGCGACACUUCCACACGAAGCGGUAUGGCUGAAUCGACGCGACUGGUAAUACUUGCGGAUGAAUUAGCGAGAUUAGUGGCACUCGCGACGAGACCGAUGCGAUUGACUAUAUUCAUGACACAACUAUUAAUGAGGUUAGCGGCAUUCGGGACCAACGCGAUCGGUAAUAUUCGCGACAGAACUAUCGCCAACGCGGGAGGAUAGAGCAUUACAUUCGUAAAUAUUAUUGGAGGGACUUAGCUGAUUCAUGAAGAUUUCGCGCAGUCUAUUCUGAAGUUGAAAAAUAUCCAUCUCGCCGCCGCAGUAUCGCCGCGAACUCCUCCUAAUUAUUUAGGAUGCUUCCUGUCACAUGUCGUCGACGUGGUCGAAUCCUUCUCCGGAGUAACGAGAAACUUCUCUUUUUGUGUGAAGAUCGCAAUGUGUCACGGUAAUUCACUCGGUUCGAUCGUCAGUCUGCUCGUUCAAUCCGUUCGCACAGACGGGCCCAAAAUAUUGUGCCCGUGUGGCCGAUCGCUCUUGCGUGGACGCGUUUGCGCACUUUCGAACCGCAGAAAUAACGAACACGAGUGUAACAAAAAGAAUAAGAAACGUUUAUUAACAAAGAGAACGGAGAACACAGAACACAGCAAAUAAAUAAUAAUGAAGAGAUACGUCCGGACACGGCGACGGCUCACAUCCAAAUCUGAAGAUCUUAUUAAAAAGUUGAACGGCUAAUCGCUUUCUUCAAUAUAUCACGGGUGUCGGCACGAGUAUAACAAUACAUUAUGUAUACUAUAGUAUUUCUCUAGUAUUUCGUAUACGUUUCUUUUCAAGAAUACACAUGAAAAAAAAGGAACGGUAGGAGCUAAUAUGUAUUGUGAUGUAACGUUUUUCGUCUAUCACUUUGUCGCGGAUAAGCGAUUCUGGGUCCUCCUGGGUGAGGGCGGACAACAAGCAUGCGGGCGCUACCGUUGUGCGCCACCUUAAAUUUAUUUUUAUUUAUUUUUUCUUCUGUAUUUUUUUGCAUUAAUUUUCUGAGAAUCGGUAGCUGUGCGUUGAUUGUGUCGAAGCUGUCUCAUCCGGUUGCCAGCAGGGAAGAAGACCGCCGAAGAGGACUGUCACCGAGGAGGCUUCGGACUAUGCCCCAAUGGCGGGGGCGCGUAGAUCGUAUCGCUCUUUUUAACUUGCUACUUGCAUUUAUUAUUUACGUCUUUUUAGUUCCGCUCCUGUUUUAUAGAGAAAAGAUGCAGAGACAUCAGGAUGAGGUAGCUUCUCAAGAGGACAAUCAGCCGAGAAGACUACGGCGAACUCGGAGUCGAACCAAAGGAAUUACUUAAAGCAGGAAGAGUUUCGUGCGAGACGAGAAGAGUCCUGGCGAGAAGACUGCCUGGGCGAAAUUCGGAUUCCGCGCCAAGUCGCGAGAAGCUACGUCACUGCCACGGGCCUACGCGAUUCGCGCGAGUCGCACGACGCCGCUAUCGGCCAAUCAAGCGCCAGGAGACCUCGCUCCCGAAAAGCUGUGCAUCCCCCGCCGGGGCCUGCCGAUCACUUGCGUUGUGGCACGAGCCUGGUGCAAAUUGUGAGAGGACGCAAGAUCUAUUGAGGAUAAAGAACGAGUUAUCGAUAACGAAAGUGAGGCGAGUGGAGAUAGAGGAAGGAGCUGAGAGGAGAUAUCGAAGGGACAAGGAGGAAAUCGCCAGUGUGACAAGCGUAAAAAUUCUGCCGACAACGUGAUCUCGAGCGAAUAGUACGUGCCGAAUUUGAGCCAAAAGGCUGAGGCCCGUACAGGGAGCCGUGAGUAAUUAAUCUUUUAGUUGCCGCUUGCCGUUCGCUCGAAUCACACAGAUUUUUGUAUUCAGUUUGCGUAAAGCUUGUCGCCCUCUCACCACAGCGAAUUCACCGCGUCUCGUUAGUGUGAUUGUAUGUUAAUUCGCCAUCUUGUAUUCUACGCCGGUUGAGGCACAUUUCAUGUAGAGUAAAGAAAAUCAUUGACGUUGUAACGUACGUCUGGCGGAAAGCCGCGAUUAUUGCUAUAAACUAUGAUUGAUGAAUUUAUGAUAAUUCUCGCGACAAUCGCUUGUUCAUGUUUCGGGUAUUCUUUUGUGCUGCGUGACUCGAUCACACCCGAUCAUAAUGAGUUCAUAUUCGCACCAAGACGAAAUUAUUAUAAUUACGAUGAAUUGCGUACUUGAAUAGAUUCUUGUAAUUGUUUCCGUUACAAAUAUUAAAUAUAUGUUUGUCAUUUUCUUACUAAAAGGAA